UGAUGGGUCUUUACACCCACAGAUUUACUGACGCAGCUGGGAAGAACCGUCUUACUUUAGCCUCCGGUACGGGGAUGAAGAGUUUUUGGUGUGAGCUAACAUAUGGGUGAAUGCAAUACCUGCAAACCAGAGGAGGACUCUUCCCCGGAACACUUGGAAGAGUGAAGAUGGAUUUGAACUAUUCUGCAAAUGCUCCAAGCUGGCACAAUUCCAGCAUGUUCUGGAUUGCAGUAAGCAAGUGAGUG
rnacentral:lncRNA from 1 species